CGUCUUUCAUUCGGUUCAGCUAUCGG
rnacentral:miRNA from 1 species